rnacentral:rRNA from 1 species
AUUGAACGCUGGCGGCAGGCCUAACACAUGCAAGUCGAACGAGUGGCGGACGGGUGAGUAAUGUCUGGGCAACUGCCUAAUGGAGGGGGAUAACUACUGGAAACGGUAGCUAAUACCGCAUACCUUCAGAUCUGCCCAGAUGGGAUUAGAUUGUUGGUAGGGUAAAGGCUCACCAAGGCGACGAUCCCUAGCUGGUCUGAGAGGAUGACCAGCCACACUGGAAUGGAGACACGGUCCAGACUCCGACGGGAGGCAGCAGUGGGGAAUAUUGCACAAUGGGCGAAAUCCUGAUGCAGCCAUGCCGCGUGUAUGAAGAAGGCCUUCGGGUUGUAAAGUACUUUUAGCUGGGAGGCGUUACCCGCAGAAGAAGCACCGGCUAACUCCGUGCCAGCAGCCGCGGUAAUAC